rnacentral:rRNA from 1 species
AGAACGAACGCUGGCGGCAGGCUUAACACAUGCAAGUCGAGCGGGCGUAGCAAUACGUCAGCGGCAGACGGGUGAGUAACGCGUGGGAACGUACCUUUUGGUUCGGAACAACCCAGGGAAACUUGGGCUAAUACCGGAUAAGCCCUUACGGGGAAAGAUUUAUCGCCGAAAGAUCGGCCCGCGUCUGAUUAGCUAGUUGGUGGGGUAAUGGCCCACCAAGGCGACGAUCAGUAGCUGGUCUGAGAGGAUGAUCAGCCACAUUGGGACUGAGACACGGCCCAAACUCCUACGGGAGGCAGCAGUGGGGAAUAUUGGACAAUGGCGCAAGCCUGAUCCAGCCAUGCCGCGUGAGUGAUGAAGGCCCUAGGGUUGUAAAGCUCUUUUGUGCGGGAAGAUAAUGACGGUACCGCAAGAAUAAGGCCCCGGCUAACUUCGCGCCAGCAGCCGC